CCUACGGGUGGCUGCAGUGGGGAAUAUUGCACAAUGGGGGAAACCCUGACGCAGCAACGCCGCGUGAGCGAUGAAGGCCUUCGGGUUGUAAAGCUCUGUCUUCGCUGACGAAACCUGACGGUAAGCGAGGAGGAAGCCACGGCUAACUACGUGCCAGCAGCCGCGGUAAUACGUAGGUGGCGAGCGUUAUCCGGAAUCACUGGGCGUAAAGGGUGCGUAGGCGGCCAAUUAAGCCAGAGGUGAAAGGCUACGGCUCAACCGUAGUAAGCCUUUGGAACUGAAUGGCUUGAGUGCAGGAGAGGAGAGUGGAAUUCCUAGUGUAGCGGUGAAAUGCGUAGAUAUUAGGAGGAACACCAGUGGCGAAGGCGACUCUCUGGACUGUAACUGACGCUGAGGCACGAAAGCGUGGGGAGCAAACAGGAUUAGAUACCCUAGUAGUC
rnacentral:rRNA from 1 species